rnacentral:ncRNA from 1 species
UCUUAUUGAGAGAGAUGGAGGGAAUUGGCCCUGCGAAGUCUCAGCAACAGGCACUUUGCGUACUGUGCUAAAUCCAACAGAUCGCCCGCAAUUGCACGGUCUGAGAAAUAAG